rnacentral:lncRNA from 1 species
UUCUCAACAUAAGUGUAUUAUGAUCAAUAUUGUAAAAUUGGAUCAAACAUGUCGACUUAACUGAAAAAACUAGGAACGUGCAUAGUUGUAUGUUAAAAUUGAAAAUUUUGAAACCUUUAAAACAACCAUCCAACCUGUCAAUUGACCUCCAAAAUCAUCCCGGUUCACCCAAAAUCAGUUGGUUCGGUCCGCUUUUUUUGCUUUGUUUUCAUUUAUUUGACUUUUUUUUUAACAUAUGUUCAACCUUGAUGCGAUCAUUA